GUGCUCUCUUUGGCAGCACAUACACUAAAAUUAGGACAACACAGAGAAGAUUAGCAUGGCUCCUGUGUGAGAUUGUAACCUUACAGCUAGACUCCCUGGGUUCAAAU
ensembl:snRNA U6 U6 spliceosomal RNA